AGUGAACGCUGGCGGCGUGCUUAACACAUGCAAGUCGAACGAGAACGGGUUAUAGCUUGCUAUAAUUGUCAGCUAAGUGGCGCACGGGUGAGUAAUGUAUAGGUAAUAUGCCUCUUACUAAGGGAUAACAAAUGGAAACGUUUGCUAAUACCUUAUACUCCUUAUUAACAGAAGUUAAUAAGGGAAAGAUUUAUUGGUAAGAGAUUAGCCUGUAUUGUAUCAGUUAGUUGGUGGGGUAAUGGCUUACCAAGACUAUGACACAUAACUGGUUUGAGAGGAUGAUCAGUCACACUGGAACUGAGACACGGUCCAGACUCCUACGGGAGGCAGCAGUGGGGAAUAUUGCACAAUGGACGAAAGUCUGAUGCAGCAACGCCGCGUGGAGGAUGACACAUUUCGGUGCGUAAACUCCUUAUAUAUGAGAAGAUAAUGACGGUAUUAUAUGAAUAAGCACCGGCUAACUACGUGCCAGCAGCCGCAGUAAUAC
rnacentral:rRNA from 1 species